UACGAAGGGGGCUAGCGUUGUUCGGAAUUACUGGGCGUAAAGCGCGCGCAGGCGGUCUUCCAAGUCAGUGGUGAAAGCCCGGAGCUCAACUCCGGAACUGCCAUUGAAACUGUAAGACUUGAGGAUGAGAGAGGUGAGUGGAAUUCCCAGUGUAGAGGUGAAAUUCGUAGAUAUUGGGAAGAACACCGGUGGCGAAGGCGGCAUCCUGGACCGGCAUUGACGCUGAGGAGCGAAAGCUAGGGGAGCAAACGGG
rnacentral:rRNA from 1 species